UACGGGGGGGGGCAAGCGUUGUUCGGAAUUACUGGGCGUAAAGGGCGCGUAGGCGGCCUGCUAAGUCGGAUGUGAAAUCCCUCGGCUCAACCGAGGAACUGCAUCCGAUACUGGCGGGCUUUGAAUCCGGGAGAGGGAUGUGGAAUUCCAGGUGUAGCGGUGAAAUGCGUAGAUAUCUGGAGGAACACCGGUGGCGAAGGCGGCAUCCUGGACCGGUAUUGACGCUGAGGCGCGAAAAGCUAGGGGGAGCAAAAC
rnacentral:rRNA from 1 species